GGCUGUGCACCCCUUCCUGAAUAAGGCAUCGAUGAUGAUGAUGCAACAAAUGACCCCGUAGGUCGUGCCAUACCCCCUAUGUCCCUUCGUGGGCAUUCCCUCAUCAUAUGCCCCGACAUACCGCACCAAAAGCAAACAUUGGUCCCCAGCCGACAUGCGCCCAAAUGAUACCUUCCACAUUUAUUGCAUGGCUCUCGAGGAGGUCUUGAUUGGCUCAUAUUCCCUUGCCCUUGGUACCCCACUGUCCGCGAACUCUGACUCUCACUUCUGUGCCCAAAUUGAUUUCCUCUGAACCCUUGG
rnacentral:lncRNA from 1 species